UCCUGGUUACUUCUCCUUUUGGAUUUAGAUUCACUUUGUAAACCCACUUCACAUUAAUUACCUUUUUACCUUGUAGCAAUUCAACUAGUGACCAGAUUUAUUAACUUCUAUGGACUUCAGUUCCUCCAUCAUUGCUUGCAUCCAUUUUGAGUCCUUCAAUUCCUCAAUUAGAUUGACUAGCUCAAUAUUUUUAUAGAAAUUAGAGUGUA
rnacentral:lncRNA from 1 species